UACGUAGGGUGCGAGCGUUAAUCGGAAUUAUUGGGCGUAAAGAGCUCGUAGGCGGUUCCGUAAGUCGGAUGUGAAAAAUCUGGGCUCAACCCAGUGGAGCACCCGAUACUGCGGUGACUCGAGUCCGGUAGGGGAGUGUGGAAUUCCAGGUGUAGCGGUGAAAUGCGUAGAUAUCUGGAGGAACACCGGUGGCGAAGGCGGCUUUCUGGACAAAUACCGACGCUGAGGCACGAAAGCUAGGGGAGCAAACAGG
rnacentral:rRNA from 1 species